rnacentral:lncRNA from 1 species
CAGGAAGAUGUCUGACCUUUCACAAUAAAGGUCUCAGCAACACAAUAAUGCUGAAAAGGACAGAUUAUAAGCCGAUCAGCAGCAGGAGAAGAAACUGACGGAGCAGCAGAGGAAUAUUUUCAUCCAUUCGGAAUCAGCUCAGCCACUACAGGGGAAACAAGACAGAAGGCAGGAUAAAGACAUGGUGAUAAAUGAGUGUGUGGGCCGUCUGCUGAGGACCAGGAGCUCAGGACACUCAGACGGGGGCGUCGCAGCAGGAGUCACCGCGCACCACAAUCCUCUGCUGUUCUGAGAUGUCACACUCCUGCCUGCACAUAGAAACCACAGUGAAGUCAAAGUUCCACCUGCACCUCCACCUGUUCUUGCAACAGCAUGAACACUGACAGAGG